UUUGGUGGUCAUAGCGCGAGUGAAACACCGGAUUCCAUUCCGAACUCCUUGGUUAAGCACCGUUGCGCCGAUUGUACUGCGUCUCAAGGCGUGGGAGAGUAGGUCGCUGCCAACC
rnacentral:rRNA from 1 species